AGUGGGGAAUUUUGGACAAUGGGCGCAAGCCUGAUCCAGCCAUGCCGCGUGCGGGAAGAAGGCCUUCGGGUUGUAAACCGCUUUUGUCAGGGAAGAAACGGUCCGGGCUAAUACCCUGGAUUAAUGACGGUACCUGAAGAAUAAGCACCGGCUAACUACGUGCCAGCAGCCGCGGUAAUACGUAGGGUGCAAGCGUUAAUCGGAAUUACUGGGCGUAAAGCGUGCGCAGGCGGUUGUGCAAGACAGAUGUGAAAUCCCCGGGCUCAACCUGGGAACUGCAUUUGUGACUGCACGACUAGAGUACGGCAGAGGGGGAUGGAAUUCCGCGUGUAGCAGUGAAAUGCGUAGAUAUGCGGAGGAACACCGAUGGCGAAGGCAAUCCCCUGGGCCUGUACUGACGCUCAUGCACGAAAGCGUGGGGAGCAAA
rnacentral:rRNA from 1 species